rnacentral:rRNA from 1 species
AGUUUGAUCAUGGCUCAGAUUGAACGCUGGCGGCAGGCCUAACACAUGCAAGUCGAGCGGUAGCACAGGAGCAGCUUGCUCUCCGGGUGCACGAGCGGCGGACGGGUGAGUAAUGUCUGGGAAACUGCCUGAUGGAGGGGGAUAACUACUGGAAACGGUAGCUAAUACCGCAUAACGUCUUCGGACCAAAGUGGGGGACCUUCGGGCCUCACGCCAUCCUAUGUGCCCAGAUGGGAUUAGCUCGUACGUGGGGUAAUGGCUCACCUAGGCCACGAUCCCUAGCUGGUCUGAGAGGAUGACCAGCCACACUGGAACUGAGACACGGUCCAGACUCCUACGGGAGGCAGCACUGGGGAAUAUUGCACAAUGGGCGCAAGCCUGAUGCAGCCAUGCCGCGUGUGUGAAGAAAGCCUUCGGGUUGUACAGCACUUUCAGCGAAGAAGAAAGGUUCUGUGUUAAUAGCACAUUGCAUUGACGUUACUUGCAGAAGAAGAACCGGCCAACUCCGUGCCAGCAGCCGCGGUAUUACGGAGGGUGCAAGCGUUAAUCGGAAUUACUGGGCGUAAAGCGCACGCAGGCGGUAUGUUAUAGUGAGAUGUGAUAUCCUCGCGCUGAACGUGGGAACUGCAUUUGAAAACGGCAAGCUAGAGUCUUGUAGAGGGGGGUAGAAUUCCAGGUGUAGCGGUGAAAUGCGUAGAGAUCUGGAGGAAUACCGGUGGCGAAGGCGGCCCCCUGGACAAAGACUGACGCUCAGGUGCGAAAGCGUGGGGAGCAAACAGGAUUAGAUACCCUGGUAGUCCACGCUGUAAACGAUGUCGACUUGGAGGUUGUGCCCUUGAGGCGUGGCUUCCGGAGCUAACGCGUUAAGUCGACCGCCUGGGGAGUACGGCCGCAAGGUUAAAACUCAAAUGAAUUGACGGGGGCCCGCACAAGCGGUGGAGCAUGUGGUUAAAUUCGAUGCAUCGCGAAGAACCUUACCUGCUCUUGACAUCCAGAGAAUUCGCUAGAGAUCGCUGAGUGCCUUCGGGAACUCUCAGACAGGUGCUGCAUGGCUGUCGUCAGCUCGUGUUGUGAAAUGUUGGGUUAAGUCCCGCAACGAGCGCAAACCUUAUCCUUUGUUGCCAGCACGUAAUGGUGGGAACUCAAAGGAGACUGCCGGUGAUAAACCGGAGGAAGGUGGGGAUGACGUCAAGUCAUCAUGGCCCUUACGAGUAGGGCUACACACGUGCUACAAUGGCGUAUACAAAGAGAAGCGAACUCGCGAGAGCAAGCGGACCUCAUAAAGUACGUCGUAGUCCGGAUCGGAGUCUGCAACUGGACUCCGUGAAGUCGGAAUCGCUAGUAAUCGUAGAUCAGAAUGCUACGGUGAAUACGUUCCCGGGCCUUGUACACACCGCCCGUCACACCAUGGGAGUGGGUUGCAAAAGAAGUAGGUAGCUUAACCUUCGGGAGGGCGCUUACCACUUUGUGAUUCAUGACUGGGGUGAAGUCGUAACAAGGUA